rnacentral:SRP_RNA from 1 species
GCCGGCUGUGGUGGUCUGUAGUUCCAGCUGCUUGGGAGGCUGAGUCAGGAGGAUCACUUGAGCUCAGGAAUUCUGGGUUAUCGUGAAAUAUGUGAUCAGGCAUCUGCACUAAGUUUGGCAUCAAUAUGGUGACAUUUUGGGAGCAGGGGACCACCAGGUUACCUAAGGUGUCUGAGGAGGGGUUUCCAGGUUGGAAAUGGGGCAGCUCAACACUCCCUAGCUGAUCAGUACUGAGACUGCUCCUGUGAGUAGCCACUGCACUCUGGCCUGGGCAACAUAGCGAGACCUCAGUUA